AAUUCAGCACUGCACAAAGGAUGCUGGCUAUUUCCAUUCUUCAAUCUAUACCUAGCAAUGAAUCUGUCAUAAGAGCCAUACAUACGUAGAGGAUAUUGUAAAUUUGCUAAAUUAUACAUCCUGGAACAUAUCCUUACAUUUGGUUUCCUAUUUUUAAGGAAAUCAGACCAAUUGAUGAUUGCUAUGUGUACGGAUUAUUAUGCCAUCUAAG